GCUUGCCAUGUGUCACCGCUGGAGGAUUUUAAUCUUGGCCGGUGAUUGGCUAUCUCCACUUGGAAAACACUAUGUUGUUUCAUGAAAAGGAAAGUGGGAUGGAGGGGAAGAUCGACCUAUCAGGGGGAGUAAUGAGAAGUGCCAAUUAUUGUGAUGGAUCUAGAGGAAAAUACAUUCUGCACACGCGUGUCUCCACGACGGCUGCCAUGGCACAGCAGGGCGGGGCCUCUUCC